rnacentral:lncRNA from 1 species
UAUUCCGCGUGUGCGGCCCUAAAAAGAAAAAAAAAAAGAUACACUCUUAUUUCUAAAGAAAUUAAAAACAAAUUAAAAUAUUAACUUGAAAGGUACUUAGAAGAGUAAGGUUUACAGAGAAAAUUGUUUAGCAAAUUGGAGUGAGAGUAAUCUUGGAGAAAGAAGUGUUCUUCUUUCAUGCAGCUCUGUAAAAACAGGAAAAAUGGUGGAUCUUUUAGAACUGAGCCCAAAUAGGAUUUUUACUGAAUCAUUUAUUUUAAUAGGUGUUUAGCAAGGGGGAAUAUAGAUUUAUCAUUGUUAUCAUUGCUUUUGCCACUGGCAACAGGAUCAUCAUAUUGAAAGUUAAUUUGGGACCUUGGCCCUAUUAUUUGGCCCUCUAAUUACUUGGCUUCAUGCAUAAUGUAGACUCUAAGGACAAUAAAACUAGGAGUGACAGCAGGUCAGAAAAUUGGAAUGAUUGAAGCUCUAGGCAAAAUGAUCAGUUUGCAGAAAGAAAGUGGAAAUAUUGGGUAUCUUGUUUGAAGGGGUUUCCCUUCCUAUUUUUGAAGAUAAACCGCUGAUUGACUUUAUGUUGUGAUAAUUUUUAGCAAUUUAGAUGGAACUUUGCUAUUUUACUCCACUCCCACCCCAAUCAUAUUUGAAAUCAAAUAUUUAUAUCUUGCAAAAUGACUCAUCUGUUAGUAGGACACUGGUACAUUCUGCUUUUUCCUUCCAUAAUAUUCUUUGCUACCUUAUUGAAUAACGUAAGCUGUAAAAUAAUAAUAAAAUCUCAUUUGUUUGGUAAGUAGCUAUUGAGUGCCUACAUAUACUAAGCUCUUCGUUUGGCAUUAGUGAUAUAAAGAUGAAUACAAGGCUACCGUUGAAUAUGUACAUUACUUAAUUUGAAUUUCAGUGACGGAAAUGAAUGAAUAGAUAUGACAGUAUGACAUAAUAUAUUCAUGAUAUGAACAUGCAAUACAGAAGGAGAACAGGGAGUUAGUGACCAACUUUGGACAUAGGAAACUGGAAAUGCCGGAAGGAUGGAAGUAAAUUGAGAAAAGAGAUGGCGUUUGAGCUGUUUCUUGAUAAAUGAGUAAUAUUCUUCCAGACAGCUGUGAUGGAAGUAACCAUUUCAGCAGACAGACAGAGGAAUGUAAAUAACAAUGAAAACAAAAGCCACACAGUAUUAUUAUAGAACCGAAGUUAGUUCAAUGUGGAACAUCUAGGACAAGGGGCACAAGGCAGAUUUUAAGGGAUCUUUUACUUAAUACUAGGGAAAAACUGAGCUGUCAUAUGUAAGUAGUGGAGAAUGAUAGAAGGCUUUAAAAGGGGGUGGGGAGUAAUGGAUAAGAUUUGAUUCCUAGGACUUCUCAUUUGGUAUAAUUACAGAGAGGAAUGAAGAGAAUUUGACACUGAUAACAAGUCAACUAGCAAGCAGUGAAAUAGUCUGUAGGACAAUACAUACCUGAAGUAAGGCAUUAGCUAUUGACAGUAGUAUUUCCAUUGAUAAAGUUAUUCAUAGGUAAGCCAAAUUUCCAACUAAUUCUAACAUGAAUCAAUAAUCACUUGAAUUUAUGCAUUGUUUUUAAGAUGAGGCAGAAGUAAAUAAUGGAACUAUCUUUAGAAAUAUGUAGAAUAGGAAAUAGAAAAUAAAUCCUCUUUUUUAAAAAAUUGUCCUUCUAAAUGUAAAACUCAGUUUUUCUAAAGACGUAGUCUUUCUCAAGACAUACUCUUGGUUUCCAUGUGCCCUUCAAUAAUAUAACAAACACUGAUCCUUUUCCCUCAUUAUGAAGGGUAGAGAAUGAAAUUUAAUUAAACCCCUUUGUCAUUCAGUCAUAGAAGUUUUGUCAGUUUAAUUGAUACUUGGUCAAAGCAAUAUUGACCUGAUAAAAGCAAAUCUAUUUCUAACCCUAACAAUUAAAACAUUUAAAUAGCCUCCAUCUUCUUUUAACGAAAGGACAUAAAACCACUAUCAGGUGCUCAUAAAAAUCAAUGAAAACAUUAAUAAAUGAAUUAGCAUCCAUUUCGUUGUAUCCCAUUUGUUUAACAGUCUAAUGUACUAAUACAUAAAAGUGUAUGAACUCCACUGUGAGAUCCAGAUAGUCAUUUAUUCUCUUUCCCUUUCUCUCUGGCUCUGACACUCUCUUUCACACACACACACACACACACACACACACACACACACACACACACACACACCCCUCUACCCCAGUGCUAUAAUAUUUCAUAGAAAUCACAAGUCUCAUAUUCUAAAAUUUAUAUGUGGAACUUAUUUUCUGCAGAAAUUCCUCCAGAAGUAUAUUUCUGUAUAAUGAAAGGCAGUCUCCUCUUGUCAGAGCAAAGAUUCAUAUGUAGUUGUUUUUAUUCUAAAGUCUAACAUUUUUUAAUAUCUAAGCAUGGGCUCAGUCCUGUAUGGGUGCAAAUUGAACUAAGAGCAUGGGUGCAGUCACGGGGAAUCAUUACUUAUUUAGAUAAAGUGUCUGGCAAUCCCAAAUUUAAAUCUUCACUCUGCUGUUUUCUGUUUGGCCUCAGGCAAUUUCUUUAAUCUCUCUGACCUUCAAUUCCCUCAACUAUUAUGGGAUUAAAAGCGUUAUUAUGAGAUUAAAAGACAUAAUGCAUAUAAUAUAUUUAGGACAGUACAUUAAACCUAGAAUAGAAAGCUAUUUCAGGAGUUCUCUUGUGGCACAAUAGGUUAAAGAUCUGGUGUUGUUGCUGCAGUGGCUUGGGUCUCUGCUAUGACGCAGGUUUGAGCCCUGGCCAAGAACUUCCACAAACUGUGGGCAUGGCCAAAAAAAAAAAACACUAUUUCAGUUAAAUAAAGGGUCAUGGAAGCCAAUAACUAAGUAUAAUUAAGGAGUUGGAGAAUCAAGAAAAACAAAGCUGGGAAUAAGCAAAUCAAAAGUUGCCAAAAUAUUUUGACCAUUUUCAAGGAUCUCAGUCACUUUAAUGAGACUAUUUUCAAGACGAUUGAAAAUUAUUAAAGUAGGCCAUUGAAAAGAUACUGAAAGAAUACCAUCAUUAUUCCCUUCAUUGUUUGCCUGAAAACAAAUCCUCUUGCAAUGAGUUUAUUUCUUGCAUUUUAACUAUGAAAAAGAGAGGAGUGAUAAUAUCUUAAAUGUGAAAACCAAAAUAUUUUGUCUUGUAGUAUGCAAAAUCAGUGAGGAAUGAUUCUUUCAACACACAUCAACUACAUUUUCAUGGAAAUAUAUGGUUAGACCUAUUCAUUUGUCCUUAUGGGAAAAAGGGUAUGGAAAAAGUAUAAGGUUGUUAGUGUAGUUGGCUAAUUUCUUUCACAGCAUUGGUUUCAUUCUUACCUGAUUGCUUUUAAAGCAUGUACUUAGAUGGGCCAUGGCAUUUCUUUGUACCUACGCUUAACCUGGAUAGAAUUUAAGGGAAAAUUCUGUUGUGAAAAGGAUGCUAAUCUUCAAUGACCCUAAAAUCAGAGUAGAGUCUUGCUCUGCAAAAUCAAUCUCUUAAUGUAAGCAUUUGGCCGGUUUUAUGCUGAAGAGUGGGAUCACAGCAAUUACGGGCUUGUAUUUCCUGGCAGGGAGACAAGCAAGGAUAGAUUUCCUCUGUUUUAUGUUUGUGUUAAUUUAACCUGUCAAAGUUAAUCAUCCUGUCGAAGUGCCAAAGCAGUGCAAUGUUGAGCACCAGUGAGCUGUCUGGUGCUGCCUCCUGUUUACAUCUCUGCUAGAGACUUACUGCGUGUCCUCUGUUAGACCCAUUUGUCUCUCUUAUUUUCCUUGUUUUUAAAACAGAAUAAUUAAUAAUCAUCUCCUAUCUUUAUGCUGUGUUAGACCUAUCUGCAUAGUUUUUUAUUUUUAAUGAUGCAAAACUGAAAUUUUAUUUUCCAUCUCCUGAUUUUUUUCAAUUGUGGUGGUAAGAGGAAGAAAACUAAACUAUAAAUACAAAGGCUACUUGCUAAACAGCAUACUUAAAAGUGUUGAUAGGUUUGUGGCCUGGCAUUUAACAUUGAACUGUUCAUAGAAUGUAGUUUUUCUUCUAAACAUCAUUUGUGUAGUAGAGAGCGUCUUGCACUGUGUGUGUGUGGCAGGAAAGACAUUUCUUAAACCAUUUUACUUUCCUCACA